CGCUAGCUAUAGGCUUAACACAUGCAAGUCGAGGGGAAACGGCAUUAUGUGCUUGCACAUUUUGGACGUCGACCGGCGCACGGGUGAGUAUCGCGUAUCCAACCUGCCCUUUACUUGGGGAUACCCCGUUGAAAGACGGCCUAAUACCCGAUGUAAUUCAUUGAUGGCAUCAGAUAUGAAUAAAAGAUUUAUCGGUAAAGGAUGGGGAUGCGUCUGAUUAGCUUGUUGGUGAGGUAAAGGCUCACCAAGGCGACGAUCAGUAGGGGUUCUGAGAGGAAGGUCCCCCACAUCGGAACUGAGACACGGUCCAAACUCCUACGGGAGGCAGCAGUGAGGAAUAUUGGUCAAUGGGCGCAAGCCUGAACCAGCCAAGUAGCGUGCAGGAAGACGGCCCUAUGGGUUGUAAACUGCUUUUAUACGAGAAUAAUUUGAUGCACGUGUGCGUUAUUGCAUGUAUCGUAUGAAUAAGGACCGGCUAAUUCCGUGCCAGCAGCCGCGGUAAUACGGAAGGUCCAGGCGUUAUCCGGAUUUAUUGGGUUUAAAGGGAGUGUAGGCGGUUUGUUAAGCGUGUUGUGAAAUUUAGAUGCUCAACAUUUAACUUGCAGCGCGAACUGGCGAACUUGAGUGCACACAACGUAUGCGGAAUUCAUGGUGUAGCGGUGAAAUGCUUAGAUAUCAUGAAGAACUCCGAUUGCGAAGGCAGCAUACGGGAGUGUAACUGACGCUUAAGCUCGAAGGUGCGGGUAUCGAACAGGAUUAGAUACCCUGGUAGUCCGCACAGUAAACGAUGGAUGCCCGCUGUUAGCGCCUGGCGUUAGCGGCUAAGCGAAAGCAUUAAGCAUCCCACCUGGGGAGUACGCCGGCAACGGUGAAACUCAAAGGAAUUGACGGGGGCCCGCACAAGCGAGGAACAUGUGGUU
rnacentral:rRNA from 1 species